rnacentral:rRNA from 1 species
AGUGAACGCUGGCGGUAGGCCUAACACAUGCAAGUCGAACGGCAGCACAGUAAGAGCUUGCUCUUACGGGUGGCGAGUGGCGGACGGGUGAGGAAUACAUCGGAAUCUACUUUUUCGUGGGGGAUAACGUAGGGAAACUUACGCUAAUACCGCAUACGACCUACGGGUGAAAGCAGGGGAUCUUCGGACCUUGCGCGAUUGAAUGAGCCGAUGUCGGAUUAGCUAGUUGGCGGGGUAAAGGCCCACCAAGGCGACGAUCCGUAGCUGGUCUGAGAGGAUGAUCAGCCACACUGGAACUGAGACACGGUCCCGACUCCUACGGGAGGCAGCAGUGGGGAAUAUUGGACAAUGGGCGCAAGCCUGAUCCAGCCAUACCGCGUGGGUGAAGAAGGCCUUCGGGUUGUAAAGCCCUUUUGUUGGGAAAGAAAAGCAGCAGGUUAAUACCCCGCUGUUCUGACGGUACCCAAAGAAUAAGCACCGGCUAACUUCGUGC